rnacentral:rRNA from 1 species
GAUCAUGGCUACAGAAUGAACGUUGGCGGCGUGGAUUAGGCAUGCAAGUCGAGCGAGAACCGCAAGGGGGACAGCGGCAAACGGGGUAGUAACGGGUAGGUGACGUACCCUUCGGUCGGGGAUAGCCACGGGAAACUGUGGGUAAUACCCGAUAACCUCUCGAGACGUGAUGGUUUCGGGAGCAAAGGUGUGAUUCCACCGGAGGAGCGGCCUGCUUCGUAUUAGCUAGUUGGUGAGGUAACGGCUCACCAAGGCGACGAUGCGUAGGGGGGUGUGAGAGCAUGACCCCCACCACUGGGACUGAGAUACUGCCCAGACACCUACGGGUGGCUGCAGUCGAGAAUCUUCGGCAAUGGGCGCAAGCCUGACCGAGCGACGCCGCGUGUGGGAUGAAGGCCCUUGGGUUGUAAACCACUGUCAGAGGGGAUGAAGUGCAUGGGAGCAAUCUCCUGUGUUUGACAUAGCCUCAGAGGAAGCACGGGCUAAGUUCGUG